rnacentral:rRNA from 1 species
GUACACUCCUGCGGGAGGCAGCAGUGGGGAAUUUUGGACAAUGGGCGAAAGCCUGAUCCAGCCAUGCCGCGUGCAGGAUGAAGGCCUUCGGGUUGUAAACUGCUUUUGUACGGAACGAAACGGCCUUUUCUAAUAAAGAGGGCUAAUGACGGUACCGUAAGAAUAAGCACCGGCUAACUACGUGCCAGCAGCCGCGGUAAUACGUAGGGUGCAAGCGUUAAUCGGAAUUACUGGGCGUAAAGCGUGCGCAGGCGGUUAUGUAAGACAGUUGUGAAAUCCCCGGGCUCAACCUGGGAACUGCAUCUGUGACUGCAUAGCUAGAGUACGGUAGAGGGGGAUGGAAUUCCGCGUGUAGCAGUGAAAUGCGUAGAUAUGCGGAGGAACACCGAUGGCGAAGGCAAUCCCCUGGACCUGUACUGACGCUCAUGCACGAAAGCGUGGGGAGCAAACAGGAUUAGAAACCCGAGUAGUCCCA